ACGAACGCUGGCGGCGUGCUUAACACAUGCAAGUCGAACGGAAAGGCCCUGCUUGCAGAGUACUCGAGUGGCGAACGGGUGAGUAACACGUGGGUGAUCUGCCCUGCACUUCGGGAUAAGCCUGGGAAACUGGGUCUAAUACCGGAUAGGAGCCAUUUUUAGUGUGAUGGUUGGAAAGUUUUUUCGGUGUAGGAUGAGCUCGCGGCCUAUCAGCUUGUUGGUGGGGUAAUGGCCUACCAAGGCGGCGACGGGUAGCCGGCCUGAGAGGGUGGACGGCCACAUUGGGACUGAGAUACGGCCCAGACUCCUACGGGAGGCAGCAGUGGGGAAUAUUGCACAAUGGGCGCAAGCCUGAUGCAGCGACGCCGCGUGGGGGAUGACGGCCUUCGGGUUGUAAACUCCUUUCGCUAGGGACGAAGCUUUUUGUGACGGUACCUAGAUAAGAAGCACCGGCUAACUACGUG
rnacentral:rRNA from 1 species